rnacentral:rRNA from 1 species
UGGAGGAAAGUAGGGGAUCGCAAGACCUUGCGCUUUUGGAGUGGCCGAUGCCUGAUUAGCUAGUUGGUAGGGUAAUGGCUUACCAAGGCGACGAUCAGUAGUUGGUCUGAGAGGACGACCAGCCACACUGGGACUGAGACACGGCCCAGACUCCUACGGGAGGCAGCAGUGGGGAAUUUUGGACAAUGGGCGAAAGCCUGAUCCAGCAAUGCCGCGUGAGUGAAGAAGGCCUUCGGGUUGUAAAGCUCUUUCAGUCGAGAAGAAAAGGUUGUGACUAAUAAUCACAACUCAUGACGGUAUCGACAGAAGAAGCACCGGCUAACUACGUGCCAGCAGCCGCGGUAAUACGUAGGGUGCGAGCGUUAAUCGGAAUUACUGGGCGUAAAGGGUGCGCAGGCGGCUUUGUAAGUCAGAUGUGA